rnacentral:rRNA from 1 species
UGCAGUCGAGUGCGCGUACCGUAGCAAUACGGUAUGGCGCACGGCGCACGGGUGCGUAACACGUGGGCAAUCUGCCCUUCGAUGGGGAAUAUCUUCGGGAAACCGAAGCGAAUUCCGCAUAACAUUCCUUGGACUUCGGUUCGAGGACUCAAAGCCGUAAGGCGUCGAAGGAGGAGCCCGCGCCCGAUUAGCUAGUUGGUGAGGUAACGGCUCACCAAGGCAAUAAUCGGUAGCUGGUCUGAGAGGAUGGCCAGCCACACUGGAACUGAGACACGGUCCAGACUCCUACGGGAGGCAGCAGUGGGGAAUCUUGCGCAAUGGGCGAAAGCCUGACGCAGCGACGCCGCGUGGGGGAUGAAGCAUCUCGGUGUGUAAACCCCUUUCGACUGGGACGAAUGCCUCGCAAGAGGAGUGACGGUACCAGUAGAAGAAGCCCCGGCUAACUACGUGCCAGCAGCCGCGGUAAGACGUAGGGGGCCAGCGUUGUUCGGAAUUACUGGGUGUAAAGGGUUCGUAGGCGGUGUGGCAAGUCGGGAGUGAAAUUUCUGGGCUUAACCCAGAAGCUGCUUCCGAAACUGCUGUGCUUGAGUGUGGGAGAGGCGCGUGGAAUUGCAGGUGUAGCGGUGAAAUGCGUAGAUAUCUGCAGGAACACCCGUGGCGAAAGCGGCGCGCUGGACCACUACUGACGCUGAGGAACGAAAGCUAGGGGAGCAAACAGGAUUAGAUACCCUGGUAGUCCUAGCCCUAAACGAUCAGGACUUGGGGUGCCACCCGUUCGGGUGUCGUCCCGGAGCUAACGCGUUAAGUCCUGCACCUGGGGAGUACGGUCGCAAGACUGAAACUCAAAGGAAUUGACGGGGGCCCGCACAAGCGGUGGAACAUGUGGUUCAAUUC